UACGUAGGGGGCAAGCGUUGUCCGGAAUCAUUGGGCGUAAAGCGCGUGUAGGCGGCUCGGUAAGUCUGCUGUGAAAGUCCAGGGCUCAACCCUGGGAUGCCGGUGGAUACUGUCGAGCUCGAGUCCGGAAGAGGCGAGUGGAAUUCCUGGUGUAGCGGUGAAAUGCGCAGAUAUCAGGAGGAACACCCGUAGCGAAGGCGGCACUCUGGGCCGAUACUGACACUGAGGAGCGAAAGCGUGGGGAGCGAACAGG
rnacentral:rRNA from 1 species